rnacentral:rRNA from 1 species
AACGCUGGCGGCGUGCUUAACACAUGCAAGUCGAACGAUGAAAGCGGGAGCUUGCUCCUGCUGGAUUAGUGGCGAACGGGUGAGUAACACGUGAGUAACCUGCCCUUGACUCUGGGAUAAGCGUUGGAAACGACGUCUAAUACCGGAUACGACCUUCGGAGGCAUCUCCUGGGGGUGGAAAGAAUUUCGGUCAAGGAUGGACUCGCGGCCUAUCAGCUAGUUGGUGAGGGUAAAUGGCUCACCAAGGCGACACGGGUAGCCGGCCUGAGAGGGUGACCGGCCACACUGGGACUGAGACACGGCCCCAGACUCCUACGGGAGGCAGCAGUGGGGAAUAUUGCACAAUGGGCGCAAGCCUGAUGCAGCAACGCCGCGUGAGGGACGACGGCCUUCGGGUUGUAAACCUCUUUUAGUAGGGAAGAAGCGAAAGUGACGGUACCUGCAGAAAAAGCACCGGCUAACUACGUG